rnacentral:rRNA from 1 species
GACGAACGCUGGCGGCGUGCUUAACACAUGCAAGUCGAACGGAAAGGCCCUGCUUUUGUGGGGUGCUCGAGUGGCGAACGGGUGAGUAACACGUGAGUAACCUGCCCUUGACUUUGGGAUAACUUCAGGAAACUGGGGCUAAUACCGGAUAGGAGCUCCUGCUGCAUGGUGGGGGUUGGAAAGUUUCGGCGGUUGGGGAUGGACUCGCGGCUUAUCAGCUUGUUGGUGGGGUAGUGGCUUACCAAGGCUUUGACGGGUAGCCGGCCUGAGAGGGUGACCGGCCACAUUGGGACUGAGAUACGGCCCAGACUCCUACGGGAGGCAGCAGUGGGAAUAUUGCACAAUGGGCGGAAGCCUGAUGCAGCAACGCCGCGUGCGGGAUGACGGCCUUCGGGUUGUAAACCGCUUUCGCCUGUGACGAAGCGUGAGUGACGGUAAUGGGUAAAGAAGCACCGGCUAACUACGUGCCAGCAGCCGCGGUGAUACGUAGGGUGCGAGCGUUGUCCGGAUUUAUUGGGCGUAAAGGGCUCGUAGGUGGUUGAUCGCGUCGGAAGUGUAAUCUUGGGGCUUAACCCUGAGCGUGCUUUCGAUACGGGUUGACUUGAGGAAGGUAGGGGAGAAUGGAAUUCCUGGUGGAGCGGUGGAAUGCGCAGAUAUCAGGAGGAACACCAGUGGCGAAGGCGGUUCUCUGGGCCUUUCCUGACGCUGAGGAGCGAAAGCGUGGGGAGCGAACAGGCUUAGAUACCCUGGUAGUCCACGCUGUAAACGGUGGGUACUAGGUGUGGGGUCCAUUCCACGGGUUCCGUGCCGUAGCUAACGCUUUAAGUACCCCGCCUGGGGAGUACGGCCGCAAGGCUAAAACUCAAAGGAAUUGACGGGGCCCCGCACAAGCGGCGGAGCAUGCGGAUUAAUUCGAUGCAACGCGUAGAACCUUACCUGGGUUUGACAUGGAUCGGGAGUGCUCAGAGAUGGGUGUGCCUCUUUUGGGGUCGGUUCACAGGUGGUGCAUGGCUGUCGUCAGCUCGUGUCGUGAGAUGUUGGGUUAAGUCCCGCAACGAGCGCAACCCUUGUUCACUGUUGCCAGCACGUUAUGGUGGGGACUCAGUGGAGACCGCCGGGGUCAACUCGGAGGAAGGUGGGGAUGACGUCAAGUCAUCAUGCCCCUUAUGUCCAGGGCUUCACGCAUGCUACAAUGGCUGGUACAGAGAGUGGCGAGCCUGUGAGGGUGAGCGAAUCUCGGAAAGCCGGUCUCAGUUCGGAUUGGGGUCUGCAACUCGACCUCAUGAAGUCGGAGUCGCUAGUAAUCGCAGAUCAGCAACGCUGCGGUGAAUACGUUCCCGGG